rnacentral:rRNA from 1 species
GCUGAAUGUGGGGAUAAUUUAUCUCUGUGUUGUAGCUAACGCGUUAAGCACUCCGCCUGGGGACUACGGUCGCAAGACUAAAACUCAAAGGAAUUGACGGGGACCCGCACAAGCGGUGGAGCAUGUGGUUUAAUUCGAUGCAACGCGAAAAACCUUACCACUUCUUGACAUGGAGAUUAGAUCCUUCUUAACAGAAGGGCGCAGUUCGGCUGGAUCUCGCACAGGUGCUGCAUGGCUGUCGUCAGCUCGUGUCGUGAGAUGUUGGGUUAAGUCCCGCAACGAGCGUAACCCUCAUCCUUAGUUGCCAGCGGGUUGAGCCGGGCACUUUAAGGAAACUGCCAGUGGUAAACUGGAGGAAGGUGGGGAUGAUGUCAAGUCAGCACGGCCCUUAUGGGGUGGGCUACACACGUGCUACAAUGGUGACUACAAUAGGUUGCAAUGUCGUAAGGCUGAGCUAAUCCGUAAAAGUCAUCUCAGUUCGGAUUGUCCUCUGCAACUCGAGGGCAUGAAGUCGGAAUCGCUAGUAAUCGUGGAUCAGCAUGCCACGGUGAAUACGUUCUCGGGUCUUGUACACACUGCCCGUCACGCCAUGGGAAUUGGCUUAACUCGAAGCUGGUGCGCUAACCGAAAGGAAGCAGCCAU